AAAGAACGCCACGUUUAGCUAGAACAGGACAAAUUUGAAAGUGUUUAAAAGGAAAGGCUUUUCUUAAGAGAUGGCACUUUUCAUUUCUCCAAGCCAAGAAUCCUCAUGAAAAGAAAACACGACUGAAUGCAGGGAUGGGAUGAAAAAGCGUUGUCCUGCCUGUGUACAUUUUAUAUACAUAGAAGGUUUUGAAAACAGAAAGAGCCUGGACAACAGCAGUUGGUGAAAUGUGGAAAAUAUGUUGCUGAGCUAGAAACAACCUUCUUAGAUCAGCUCCUGUGAAAUGUGUAGCCUGCUGGCCUGCAGGCACUGAGAGUGGCAUCGUAUUAGCUGCGAGACGGCCAGGUAGUGAACCAUUUUUUGUCAGAACAAGACAGACAGCAGCAGCAGUUACCCACUGUCUUGCUUCUUCAAGCACUCUGUUUUACUGUGUAAUCACCAUUUGUUUUGACACAGGAAGCAUAACAACACCCUGUUGUCAACACUCCUGACUGCUGCAUCUGUUCCGCAAAGGCUGAGUUGUGUUGCACUUUGGCUGUUUGGGACACCCUCUCACCCGAAGGAGUUUCUCAUCGUAGAUGGCCAUCGCUGUACUUCGCAUGCAAGUUCCAGCAGUGGGAAAAAGCUGUGGAACGGCCAGAUCUGAAACCACCAUCUCCAGUGUCAAUAUGCAGCACAGACGAGGUUGGAGCCCCCAGACAACGCUCAGUCCCUAGACCCAACCGAAGAUUACAAGCCUCAACAGAUGGAAUCCCAAGCUCAUCUCAAUGGUCCUGCUGCUUUUGGAGACUGAAAACACAACGACCAACAACACGAGUGUCCCAGCACCUGCACGCUGAGACCCUGCAGCAGGGGGACAGACUGAAAGCAGGGACCUGUCUGUGUGCCCUGGCCACGAGCAGCAGCUGUGGACGUGGCGUGGUCUUCUCUGGAGAGCUGCACGGGCAGGUACCCGGUCGCAGCGUAUAUGCAAACACACCACCCAGCACCUCCUGAGCGCCAAGGAAUAAGAAAAACUGGAGUUGGUGCAUUUAAAUGCAGAAAUGCACUGGCAGUAGAGCAAUCUGGUUAGCUUUGCCAUGUGCCUCGAUCCGUGGUUUCACCCUUGGGUUGCUCGUCGGCUGGAGCGCUCCACGGGUAAGUCUAGCUCCGUACGUUCCUGGAUUGCUCAGGCCACGAUUACCACUUCUCCACUGCUGAAGUGAGACAGGAUUGCCAGGGGAAGGAGGAGGUCAAACCCAGUAUUUUCUGCUCAGCAGGUUCCAGAAAAUAUUAGGGCCAGACUAAACACGUAUGGAAGAGCAGCGAAGACAAAUCUAUUUGUUUAAUCUCUCCUAAGUUUCAUUCUUGUACCUAAGCUUUCUGUAUUAAGGACAAAAGCCACCAACACAGUAGCACCAGUUCCUUGGCAUCUGUGAACUCAUUAAAUCCAACAGCAGUAGACUUGCACAAUUAACUUACUGGCACAACUUAAUAACUAAUAGGGACCUCUCAUUCCCAUGCUGUGGAAUGAACGGGGGUUCCCAUCUUCCUACUGCAGAUGGCCCCUUUUGUUUUUCAUAUGCCAGAUGUCCUUAGGGGCAGAUCAGUCACAGGCAUUUAAAUAAAGCCAGCUUGUUUCAUCCCUCAAGUCAACGGGAGUUAAAGCAACUAAAGAACACGAAGAAGAAGCAGGAGGUUACAGGAUUGCUGCCAUUCUGAGCAGGAGCUCAGCGCUACAGCCGAAACUCUUCAAUUUAUUCAUGGAAUGGACAAGCCUAAUCUGCCAGUCGCUCUCAAUUCUGCGCUGGAAAAGAAGCAACUGCAUCGUUCUGCUUCUUCCUCAGAAAGGACAAGGACUGACUCCAAAUCAAUAAGCAAAGAGAAACUUCGAGACUGGUAUUUCUCUCAUCGAAAGUGGAAGCAGCAAAUAAUUCUUUAUGUGCAACAGGAAAUGUUUGCUUUAACCAGGACGUUCAAUUCUUCCACAUCCUAAGCACUUUAGAUUUAAUAAGCCAAUUGGUGUAUACUGAGAGAGCAGGGAGUUGUAAAUAUGGGCAUUUCAAUGUCAUCCUUCUCAAUUCUUUUCUCUAUAAUUCACAAGGAAAGGGUGUUUACACAAAGCAAUGCUUUGAUGUCUAUGCUUCAUCAUCUUUCCUGGUAUUGUAGAAUUCCAACUAAGUACAGCUGGCCUGUACCCCCCAGACAGACACCCUGAAGAGUGUGGGUGCGGGAAUCUCAGCACUAAAGCAGUUCCACAGCAAACAACCGAAGGGACGGACACUACAUGUGGAUCUACAAUAACCAGUG